AAUUUGCAGAGGGUGCUUCGGCGUCGGCUCCGGUCCAAGUUCCUUGGAACAGGACGUCACAGAGGGUGAGAACCCCGUACGUGGCCGGAAGUCUUCGCCGUGUGAAGCCCCUUCGACGAGUCGAGUUGUUUGGGAAUGCAGCUCUAAAUGGGAGGUAAAUUUCUUCUAAAGCUAAAUACCGGCCAGAGACCGAUAGCGCACAAGUAGAGUGAUCGAAAGAUGAAAAGCACUUUGGAAAGAGAGUUAAAAAGCACGUGAAAUUGUUAAAAGGGAAGCAGUUGCAGCCAGACUUGGCCGCGGGCGUUCAACCGUGCUUCUGCACGGUGUACUCGACCGCGGUCAGGCCAGCAUCAGUUCGGGCGGCCGGAUAAAGGUCCUGGGAAUGUGGCUCCCCUCGGGGAGUGUUAUAGCCCGGGGCGUAAUACGGCCAGCCUGGACUGAGGUCCGCGCUUCGGCUAGGAUGCUGGCAUAAUGGCUGUAACUGGCCCGUCUUGAAACACGGACCAAGGAGUCUAACAUCUAUGCGAGUGUUUGGGUGUCAAACCCAUACGCGUAAUGAAAGUGAACGGAGGUGAGAGCCGCAAGGCGCAUCAUCGACCGAUCCUGAUGUCUUCGGAUGGAUUUGAGUAUGAGCAUAGCUGUUGGGACCCGAAAGAUGGUGAACUAUGCCUGAAUAGGGUGAAGCCAGAGGAAACUCUGGUGGAGGCUCGCAGCGGUUCUGACGUGCAAAUCGAUCGUCAAAUUUGGGUAUAGGGGCGAAAGACUAAUCGAACCAUUGACCUACUAGGUGGUUAACAGGCGGCUAAAAGUGCCCGGCCUAGUCCCUUCACUCGGGGGCGACGCUAUCAAAUUGCGGGGACAUCCUUAGAGCUCAGGCUACCGCGGCCCGCCGAAAGGCAGGGUGCAGCACCGGGGUAACGACCCAGGGGAAGGUAAAAACGCCUGAGAUUGGACAAUCCGCAGCCAAGUCCUAAACGCCCUCGGGGCGCACGGAUGCAGUUCACAGACUAGAUGGUAGCGGGUCGCCCUCAACGGGCGGCUU
rnacentral:rRNA from 1 species